rnacentral:rRNA from 1 species
AAAUAUAUGUUAAGUGGAAAAGGAUGUGGCGUUGCCCAGACAACUAGGAUGUUGGCUUAGAAGCAGCCAUCAUUUAAAGAGUGCGUAAUAGCUCACUAGUCGAGUGACACUGCGCCGAAAAUGUACCGGGGCUAAACAUAUUACCGAAGCUGUGGAUUGUCCUUUGGACAAUGGUAGGAGAGCGUUCUAAGGGCGUUGAAGCAUGAUCGUAAGGACAUGUGGAGCGCUUAGAAGUGAGAAUGCCGGUGUGAGUAGCGAAAGACGGGUGAGAAUCCCGUCCACCGAUUGACUAAGGUUUCCAGAGGAAGGCUCGUCCGCUCUGGGUUAGUCGGGUCCUAAGCUGAGGCCGACAGGCGUAGGCGAUGGAUAACAGGUUGAUAUUCCUGUACCACCUAUAAUCGUUUUAAUCGAUGGGGGGACGCAGUAGGAUAGGCGAAGCGUGCGAUUGGAUUGCACGUCUAAGCAGUAAGGCUGAGUAUUAGGCAAAUCCGGUACUCGUUAAGGCUGAGCUGUGAUGGGGAGAAGACAUUGUGUCUUCGAGUCGUUGAUUUCACACUGCCGAGAAAAGCCUCUAGAUAGAAAAUAGGUGCCCGUACCGCAAACCGACACAGGUAGUCAAGAUGAGAAUUCUAAGGUGAGCGAGCGAACUCUCGUUAAGGAACUCGGCAAAAUGACCCCGUAACUUCGGGAGAAGGGGUGCUCUUUAGGGUUAACGCCCAGAAGAGCCGCAGUGAAUAGGCCCAAGCGACUGUUUAUCAAAAACACAGGUCUCUGCUAAACCGUAAGGUGAUGUAUAGGGGCUGACGCCUGCCCGGUGCUGGAAGGUUAAGAGGAGUGGUUAGCUUCUGCGAAGCUACGAAUCGAAGCCCCAGUAAACGGCGGCCGUAACUAUAACGGUCCUAAGGUAGCGAAAUUCCUUGUCGGGUAAGUUCCGACCCGCACGAAAGGCGUAACGAUUUGGGCACUGUCUCAACGAGAGACUCGGUGAAAUCAUAGUACCUGUGAAGAUGCAGGUUACCCGCGACAGGACGGAAAGACCCCGUGGAGCUUUACUGUAGCCUGAUAUUGAAAUUCGGCACAGCUUGUACAGGAUAGGUAGGAGCCUUUGAAACGUGAGCGCUAGCUUACGUGGAGGCGCUGGUGGGAUACUACCCUAGCUGUGUUGGCUUUCUAACCCGCACCACUUAUCGUGGUGGGAGACAGUGUCAGGCGGGCAGUUUGACUGGGGCGGUCGCCUCCUAAAAGGUAACGGAGGCGCUCAAAGGUUCCCUCAGAAUGGUUGGAAAUCAUUCAUAGAGUGUAAAGGCAUAAGGGAGCUUGACUGCGAGACCUACAAGUCGAG